rnacentral:rRNA from 1 species
CAGGACACAUGAACAUCGACAUUUUGAACGCAUAUUGCGGUCCAUACUGACUAGUUUCUUAACCGAAGCUGUAUGGACCACACAUGGUUGAGGGUCGUUAGUUUAUGCUAACUGAAUUGCUUUUUGUUUUGGCUUGCCAAAAGAAAAUAGCUACAUAUGGAGGUGUUGUCAAUCUUAAGUGUAUUGCCAUCCCUUGAAAACUACCUAUAAUAUGGUACACAAUUUCAAUUUAUUUGUGGAAUACUUGUUUUUACAUUACAAAGUGAACAAAUAUCCAAUAAAAUAUUUUGUAUACAUGUGUCACAUAUACAGGGGCUUAUAAAGAAGUGAGUAAGCUUUAAUUAAGCAUUAAAACUUAUUGUUUUAUGCGAUUUGAAAUUCUUUAUGAAAACUUCUUUAGUCUCCUCGUGUGUGUUGUUCACAAGUUCGUAUAUUUAAAUAUAGGAUAUUCAGUUAUUCGUUAAUUUGCUUUGGUAAAAACGGUCCCAACUAUUGUCGAAUGCGGGUGGUAUUU